GCAAAAGACAAAAGAUAAAAACCUUCGAUCUCUUUCUUUUUCUUUAUCUCUGCAAUCCAAGACAACACAUUAAAAUGCCCUCUCAUCCAAACACCCCCUUACUUUCCCUUCAUUACUAUACACUGAUUCUCCAUCUUCAUUCUCACUCUUUCUCGAUAUCAUUCACCAGCAAACAAACCUUUUUCCCUCUCCCUCUCGGUCUGAUGGUCACCACAACUGGAGCCGGACACCGGCCGACGACCCCCCCACCCCUUUUCGAUCCAGAAAACGAGCACCACCACCACCGUCUGGUGGUGGUGCGGCGACGAUAACAAGCAGACAGAGAUGAGAGAGAGACUAGAAGUGAGAGAGAAGAGAGAAAGACACCGGUUUUACGGCGACCUUUUGACCGGGGGCGGAGCUCCGACGAUGGUGGUGGCGUGUGGCGGUGCUACACAGAGAAACGGAAAGAAAGAGAAGAACGAAAGAGAUCGGAGAACGAGAAGAGGAGCCGGCGACGCCGGCGGCGGUCGGAGACUCGGACCGGCGGUCCUUGUCUCGGUCCGGUGGAUCCGUUUGGUCCGACGAAUUUCCGAUGAUGCUGAAGAUGUUCAGUUCUGGGUUUAAGCGGGUUUGAUUCGAGUUCGGCUCAAAUGUUCAGGUUACGGGUCUUGGUUCAAGUUAUUUUGGUUUGGGUUUCUGUUAAGAGGUCUCGGGUCACAGAUGGGUUCGGGUUUUCAGGUUCAGUCUCGUCUCAGAUCGGGUUCGGUUAGCUCAGUGGAGGUUCGUGUCUGAUUCGGCUCGGUACGAGUCAACUCAGUCAACAGUAGCCGGUCAACUCAGUCGGUUGGGGUCAGACGGUUCGAGUCAAGCGGCUAGAUCAAGACGGUUCGGUUCGUGGUUCGGGUUGACUCGGUCAAACCGAUUCAACUCGGUCAAACCUGGUUAACUCAGCGAGUCAACCCGGUCGAUUCGGUCAACUCAGUCAACAAAAGCGGCACAAAAGACUUGGUCACAUUUCAAAGUUAUGGCACGGUUGGAAUAGGAGAACCACGUGGAGUCGAGUACUUAGCGGGCGUUCAAUUUCUAGAAAGUUUAUGCUUAUUUGCUUCCGCUGUGCAAUGAAGAUACUAGUCCAGUCACGCCAGCUCUGAUAAUUUCGGGGUGUGACAGUAAGACAUAAAGUUAAGAAAUGGUUUAUAAAUAAAAAUGACAGUACGGUGUAAACCGAAGCGAGUCAUGUAGACGAGAUGAUAAUAAAUCCCGUCUCGCAAAGAUAAACGGUCAUUUAGACCACAUGGGUCAAAUGGUGAAAAUAUCACCAUUUGAACAAUAUCGAGUAAUGAAUUUUGUCGAGUCUUAUGCUCACAGGAGUAAAUAGGGGAAAGAUAACUUGCAUCACUAUUAAGUAGUUGUUAUUAAAGCAAGGUAUUAAAACAGGUCAAUAUAUUGAUCCGAGCCAGGUAUAUAUAUUCAAUUGGAACGAAAGGUUCAUUGAGAGUUAAAUGAAGUCAAAAUAGACAUUUGGUUACUUAAAUAAGUAAACCGAAUGAUUCAAGUAAUGGUCAUUGUGAUUAGAAAACAUAAUGACUUUUCAAACAAAAUCAUAGCUAAAAAGAGGGAUUUUGGUCAAACAGGCUUUCAAAAAUCCUUCAUCGUAAAUGGAAGGCUAAAACGGACCAAAAUGCCCUUUUAAGCUAAAUUAAGCGAACGACCCUUAAAGGUUGUUUAGAAAUGAGUUUUAUGAUAAAACAAAUACUUCGAAUAAGUAUAGAAAGCGAAAGAUGUAAAUUUAUGGUCAAAUGCCUCUAUAUGAGUCUUUGCCGUAAAAUGAUAAUCCGAGGGGUAUAACUCGUAAUAUAUAGAUCUCCACAUUAAAUCCACCACAAAUAUAGUUGUGGUGGAAGAUUACUUGAUAAGAAAUGUGGAAAUAUGAAGCUAGAAACGAAUGAAAGCGAUUCGUGUUUAAAAUGUACUUAAAUACCCUUAACGGGUCAAAAUAAGUAUAGAAGCAAAAACGGGUUAAAUAUGCAUAUAAACCCGUAAAUUGAACCUAAUACAAUAGAAAACAAUUACAACAUAAAGUUCAUGAUCAUUGGAAUGCGACAAAUAAGUUGUUUGAUAAAAUCAUGAACGGGUCAAUAAAAGUUGUAAAAAUAUAUUAAGCCGCAGGCUUAAAAGUCUCAAAAAUUUAUUAAUCCGGAAGUCUGAUUUUAACUCCAUGUCAUGGAGAAUCGAAUUACGAUCACGUAGGAAGAAACGUGAUAAAAACGGAUCAAAAAUGAUCGAGUUAUGAUCAUUUUAGUCGAAAUGUGGUUUGCUGGUAAUAUGCAGCACCAGCACCAAACCUUUCUGUCGAAUUGCCUUGAUCGCGUCACACGACAAGAAUAGGCAACGUGGUCGCGGCCCGCAACCAUUGUCGCGUCGCGCGACACCAAACCCCCCUCCCGUCACGCGACGGGUUAGUCUCGCUGAAAUUGUUGCUAAAACUUGCGGUUUGCAUGUUUUAAAUGCCAGGUGACUAACUCGUUUCGUGUUUUAUGAAAUGUAGGUGUGCUAGAUAUACCAGAGGAUGAUCAAGCCUGACAAAGAACCGAACAUGAUCAAGAAUUAAGCUUCCGCGAAUAGUUUCGUUGUCACGUAUUAAACGGCGAAUUUAUAAAACGUUAGAACGUUUUAUUUAUUAAAAUGUUUUAACAAACUCCUAAUUUCAAGUGUAUUUGUGAUCGUUAAUACACAAUUAUAGUCGGAAUUUAUACGAUAAUCUUAUAAACUGGA